GACGAACGCUGGCGGCGUGCUUAACACAUGCAAGUCGAACGGAAAGGCCCCUUUGGGGGUACUCGAGUGGCGAACGGGUGAGUAACACGUGAGUAACCUGCCCUUGACUUCGGGAUAACUUCAGGAAACUGGGGCUAAUACCGGAUAGGAAUCCUUGCUGCAUGGUGGGGGUUGGAAAGCUUCGGCGGUUUUGGAUGGACUCGCGGCUUAUCAGCUUGUUGGUGGGGUAGUGGCUUACCAAGGCUUUGACGGGUAGCCGGCCUGAGAGGGCGACCGGCCACAUUGGGACUGAGAUACGGCCCAGACUCCUACGGGAGGCAGCAGUGGGGAAUAUUGCACAAUGGGCGGAAGCCUGAUGCAGCAACGCCGCGUGCGGGAUGACGGCCUUCGGGUUGUAAACCGCUUUCAGCAGGGGCGAAGCUUUUGUGACGGUACCUGCAGAAGAAGCACCGGCCAACUACGUG
rnacentral:rRNA from 1 species